rnacentral:tRNA from 1 species
GUUUAUGUAGCUUAAACCCACCCAAAGCAAGACACUGAAAAUGCCUAGAUGGGUUUGCACACCCCAUAAACAAAU